GUACUUACUCCUACGGGAGGCAGCAGUGGGGAAUAUUGGACAAUGGGCGCAAGCCUGAUCCAGCCAUACCGCGUGGGUGAAGAAGGCCUUCGGGUUGUAAAGCCCUUUUGUUGGGAAAGAAAAGCAGUCGGCUAAUACCCGGUUGUUCUGACGGUACCCAAAGAAUAAGCACCGGCUAACUUCGUGCCAGCAGCCGCGGUAAUACGAAGGGUGCAAGCGUUACUCGGAAUUACUGGGCGUAAAGCGUGCGUAGGUGGUUGUUUAAGUCUGUUGUGAAAGCCCUGGGCUCAACCUGGGAAUUGCAGUGGAUACUGGGCGACUAGAGUGUGGUAGAGGGUAGUGGAAUUCCCGGUGUAGCAGUGAAAUGCGUAGAGAUCGGGAGGAACAUCCAUGGCGAAGGCAGCUACCUGGACCAACACUGACACUGAGGCACGAGAGCGUGGGGAGCAAACAGGAUUAGAAACCCGAGUAGUCCAGGCAU
rnacentral:rRNA from 1 species